rnacentral:rRNA from 1 species
GACGAACGCUGGCGGCGUGCCUAAUACAUGCAAGCAGAACGCUGAAGGAGGAGCUUGCUCUUCUGGAUGAGUUGCGAACGGGUGAGUAACGCGUAGGUAACCUGCCUGGUAGCGGGGGAUAACUAUUGGAAACGAUAGCUAAUACCGCAUAACAGUAGAUGUUGCAUGACAUUUACUUAAAAGGUGCAAUUGCAUCACUACCAGAUGGACCUGCGUUGUAUUAGCUAGUUGGUGGGGUAACGGCUCACCAAGGCGACGAUACAUAGCCGACCUGAGAGGGGGAUCGGCCACACUGGGACUGAGACACGGCCCAGACUCCUACGGGAGGCAGCAGUAGGGAAUCUUCGGCAAUGGACGGAAGUCUGACCGAGCAACGCCGCGUGAGUGAAGAAGGUUUUCGGAUCGUAAAGCUCUGUUGUAAGAGAAGAACGAGUGUGAGAGUGGAAAGUUCACACUGUGACGGUAUCUCACCAGAAAGGGACGGCUAACUACGUG